AGAAAAGAUAGAUGGUAAAUAGAUAGAUAGAUGAUAGAUAAAGAAAAUACAUAGCUGUUCCAGAAAACAGAAAUGGAUAACUUCAUGAACCAAAAGCAGAGUAAUAUACUUUAGAAAGGAAGCAGGCCGGAAAACCCACAGUUGCAAAACAAAUAGAAUUUCCAACUGCCUCUUGUAGCCCCUUCCUGGAAGUAGUCACAGCCCGGGGUGUUCAACUUCUUCCUCUGUUUUUUGUUUGUUUGUUGUUUGCUUUUCUGUGGGGUUUUUGUUGUUGUUGUUUGCUUUUAAAAAAAAAAUUCCCUUUCCCUGCUUUUUUGUCACAGCAGCCUUUGUCACUUCAAACACCGCAAGUGUUCUUUAAAAAAAAUUAUAUCAACCUUUCAAUUCAAAUGCAACAUGUCUGAAACUUGGUAUCUGGAGAGGUGAGUUGGACAAAGGAGCCCUUGUUACUGCACGUUUUCAUUCUUCAAAUUUCACCUUGCACGCAGUAACAGACAGUGCACAAAGCCACUUCCUUAUGGACGGAAAUUCUGAAAUCCUUUUAUGCCUGGCCUUUCCAUCCUUCAACUUCCCCUCUCCCACGCUGUGAAUGAUUGUAUUGGACAUUUUUGUUUUAAUGUCAGUGACAGGGGAACACAGGUAGCUCUAAUAUAGCUGUGACCCAGAUGCUUCUGUUUCUAGCAUGUAUUUAUUUUGUAGCAAACAUUUACAUCCAUGAUGUUUCACUGUCUUUUGAAAAUAAUUAGGCAAUAUCUCAUCUGAGGUAGGAUGUUUCUAGGGGUUGUGUUCUGAGGGAGGAAAACUAAUCUGUUCUCUUUCCACUGCAUUCUAGGAACAGUAAGAGGACCUUGUGCAUGAAUAAUUUGUUUCCACACUACAGACAGAAGAAUCCCAGACUUCUUAGAGAACCCAGUGACUUUUUGCACCUUAAAUCUGUGAAAUCCUUAUGUUUUCUUCUGCUGUAUCCAUAGUUCAAACAAAGAUGAGGCAAAGCUAGACGCAUUCCUGAAGGAACCCAAGAAAUUCCUCUCUUUCUUUCUCUGGAAUGAAAUGAAUUCUCUAGACCACCAGUUCUAACCUUCAAAAACCAAACCUGUUUGUGAGAUCUCCUUCAAAUACUACUGUAGACCCCAGUGUUUAUUCAUUAAAUUUUUUAAAUAUUUGUUUUAUUUGGAAUC